UACGUAGGGGGCAAGCGUUGUCCGGAAUCAUUGGGCGUAAAGAGCGCGUAGGCGGCCCAGUAAGUCCGCUCUGAAAGUCAGGGGCUCAACCCCUGAAUGCGGGUGGAUACUGCUGGGCUAGAGUCCGGAAGAGGCGAGUGGAAUUCCUGGUGUAGCGGUGAAAUGCGCAGAUAUCAGGAGGAACACCAAUGGCGAAGGCAGCUCGCUGGGACGGUACUGACGCUGAGGCGCGAAAGCGUGGGUAGCAAACGGG
rnacentral:rRNA from 1 species